CAAGAGAAAAGAAGGGAAUCUGGAUCCUUCGUCGGAUCGUCACAGAGCUUAGAGGGGAGCUCUACGCUUCACUGGCCAUGCAAAGCAGGGAGAGUGACGGAGGCGGAGGCACUGCUGGCUGCUGGAGCGGACAUUAACAAGCUGGACAGAGCGCAGUUGAACCCUUUCAUGGACGCGAUCAACUCAGGACAGGUCGACUGUGCUAGAUGGCUGCUGAGGCAAGACGGUUGAAAGCUCCAGCCCGAGAUAUGGUCGUUUUGUAGGGAGAGGGGGCUAGAGUCAGUGCUAACAGCUUAACAGAAGCAAGGUACGGAGAGCGAUCCAUGGCUGUCCCGAUAGACCCACUCAGACUCCUGCCGGAAGAUACUCCUCCGGUUGAUCCAGAUGAGACAGUUCUAGCAGAUGAUCAGUUACAGACUGAAGAACAUAUCCCACAGAUCAAUGCGUCAACAUCUGCAAAUGAAGGUACUUCAAUCUGCUCUUCUUGUAUAUGUCUUUGUGCCUGCGUCUGUGAUUGUACUGAAGUGUACUCUGU